rnacentral:rRNA from 1 species
UGGGGAAUAUUGCACAAUGGGCGAAAGCCUGAUGCAGCAACGCCGCGUGAGUGAUGAAGGCCUUCGGGUUGUAAAGCUCUGUCUUUUGGGACGAUAAUGACGGUACCAAAGGAGGAAGCCACGGCUAACUACGUGCCAGCAGCCGCGGUAAUACGUAGGGGGCAAGCGUUGUCCGGAGUAACUGGGCGUAAAGGGCGCGUAGGCGGAAUAAUAAGUCAGUUGUGAAAGAUAUGGGCUCAACUCAUAGAACGCAUCUGAAACUGUUAAAUCUGGAGUAUAGGAGAGGGAAACGGAAUUCCUGGUGUAGCGGUGAAAUGCGUAGAGAUCAGGAAGAACAUCAGUGGCGAAGGCGGUUUCCUGGCCUAAAACUGACGCUGAAGCGCGAAAGCAUGGGUAGCGAACAGGAUUAGAUACCCUGGUAGUCCAUGCCGUAAACGAUGGAUACUAGGUGUGGGUAUCGCAAGAUAUCCGUGCCGCAGUUAACGCAAUAAGUAUCCCGCCUGGGGAGUACGGCCGCAAGGUUGAAACUUAAAUGAAUUGACGGGGUCAUAGCUGUUUCCU